GUUAAGGUGGCAGAGCCUGGUAAGUGCAAAAGACCUAAGCCCUUUAAUUCAGAGGUUCAAUUCCUCUCCUUAACU
rnacentral:tRNA from 1 species